GACAGAGGGUGCAAACGUUGUUCGGAAUUACUGGGCGUAAAGCGCGUGUAGGCGGCCCUGCAAGUCGGAUGUGAAAUCCCACGGCUCAACCGUGGAAGUGCAUUCGAAACUGCAGGGCUAGAGUCCUGGAGAGGAAGGUGGAAUGCUUGGUGUAGAGGUGAAAUUCGUAGAUAUCAAGCGGAACACCGGUGGCGAAGGCGGCCUUCUGGACAGUGACUGGACGCUGAGACGCGAAAGCGUGGGGAGCAAACAGG
rnacentral:rRNA from 1 species